GGUACAUUCCUGGCUGACGAGUCCCAGAGAUAGGACGAAAUGUGCA
rnacentral:hammerhead_ribozyme from 15 species